AUUGGACCGAGCCAGAGAGAAAACACAGAUAAAUAUCAGCGCGCCAUUUCAGAGCUGGAGGAGCUGCAGGAUUUGUAAGGAGUCAAGAGCGACGCAGAGCUAGCGGCUUUUCUGCUGGACAGGCAGGGAACGCAGUGCAAGGUGGGGGUGAAUACAGCACAUGUGGCCCAUGGAGGAAGAAGGUAGACUGCUGCAGGGGUUGAUGACCUUGGAAACAGAAAACAGGCACACAAAACAAGAACUUUUUAUAUUCCACCGGGAGAGUGGCAGCAAUGACACCCAGACGGAGCUUGACAUUCAUCAAAAUGGAAAAAAUAUCACAAAUGUAAUAGUGGAAUCUAUUGCUCGAGCCCAUCAGCACUGUGGAGGUCGAACGCUUUAAGAAAACAAAGGCAACUUUGGAACCUGGAGCACGCGAGACAGUCACGCACACACUAACCACAUAAUACAAAGGACUAGAAGAGAAGAUUCUGUAGUCACAACUAAGUGAAGCACUGAGCUUUAACACAGAUGACUGAAGCUGUACAUGACUUUAACCGCCUGCUUUUUGAGGACGAGAGGAAACUACAGAGUCUUGCACAUGAGAUGAACAAAUGGAAGAGGUGUACAUGGGCAAAAAACAUUUGUCACACCGUGGCUGCUGCCAGAAAAUCCAGCGGGACGUUAUAGAAAGCAAAUAACCAGACAGUGAAACAAGAGCAGCAACAUGUCCCUCAGUUUGAACUGAUUUUAGGAUGUCUCUAUGUUUUGGAACUCAAUCUAGUCACUUGAUCUGUAAGAGAACGUCAUCUCUAAUCUGGUUCCUUCAGAUUUUGAGUUGAGUCUUUCUGUAUAGACAUCAAUAACACUGAUCAUUGAUCCUGAGUAUCAGUGUAUUCAUACAUAUCAGAUAAACCAGUUGUUCUAACACAGAACUGAGGCUUCACUAUUUCCAUAACUAUGAUUUACAAAUUUAAAGGUGUCUCAAUUUGAACUCACCGGCGUGGGUUUUUAACGUGGUGUUGACGUGAGCAUGUGUACUCUGUAUAAGCCGCACUGAGCUGUAAAGCAAACCUCCACUACAAAAGGCUUAGAACAAGUUGUAAACUCCCAGGGGAUGUUAAUGUGUUAGAACAAAGGAGAUUAAGAUUAUAUCUAUUUCUGUUUGUUUUUCGUGACUGUGC